rnacentral:rRNA from 1 species
AGGACGAACGCUGGCGGCGUGCUUAACACAUGCAAGUCGAGCGGUAAGGCCUUUCGGGGUACACGAGCGGCGAACGGGUGAGUAACACGUGGGUGAUCUGCCCUGCACUUCGGGAUAAGCCUGGGAAACUGGGUCUAAUACCGGAUAUGACCUCCUAUCGCAUGGUGGGUGGUGGAAAGAUUUAUCGGUGCAGGAUGGGCCCGCGGCCUAUCAGCUUGUUGGUGGGGUAAUGGCCUACCAAGGCGACGACGGGUAGCCGACCUGAGAGGGUGACCGGCCACACUGGGACUGAGACACGGCCCAGACUCCUACGGGAGCAGCAGUGGGGAAUAUGCACAAU